AAACCAAAAGAGAGAGAGAGAGAAAUUCCUUAAAGAUAAGAACCAGGUUUCCUGCAUUCUUUCCUCAAUGGAGGCUCCUCCAUGGCAUCGAAUCCUUUCUCAAGCAUCUCUGGUGUCGAGGGUCCCAAGAAAUAACAGGUGACACGUUUCUUCAUUCCAGACCAGGACAGGGGUGUGAGGCCAGUGGUCAGAGUCUGCUGUAGAAGUGAUCACGUGUCUCCCUGGAUGGUUAACCAGCUUCAACACAGCCCUUUGUUGCUGCCAACGGGGACACUUCUGAUGCUAUUCCCCACUGUGCUACGGCACCUGACAUCCUCUGCUAGGAGAAGGGAGGACAAGCACAAAAAUCUGCUUUUUAGUCCUUGUGCUUUGUCCUGUUUGAUACCAAAGGAUGGGCAGGCGCAGUCUGACCUGAAGUGGAUGUUAGAACUGGGGGAGGCUCCUGCAUUGAUUUAGUACCACAUGCUCUCCCUGGUCUGAUUCCUGGCGGGUCUUGCCCAGGUGCACACAACCACUUGGGUGGGUGGCCACCCCUCAUGAUUUAAGGUUACAGACGAGUAGAAAUAUGUGAAUCUUGUUGCUGCAGGAAAUCCAGUUAUUCUCCUAGUUCUAAAAUAAAAUCUGGCGGAUGUUUGUUAGAGACACAUACUUCACUCUCCAAAGGAAGGAAGAAAGAUUAAAUGUUAUUUACAUACCUGUAACUGGGAUAGGCAGACAUUUGGGCUUUGCGAUAAGCAAUGGUCUGGAGAAUUUUGAGGGAGAGAGACAAUCAAGGAAAUUGCAACUCUUUAGGCUCAAACAGAAGCAUCAAUUAGAGAAGAAAGCUGAAACGGAGAGAAUGUCUAUUAUCUAAUUCAAGGCUGAUGGGCUUCCUAAGUGUUUCAGACUAGAGCAACUCACAUUUAGAGAGUGCUCUGAGCUCUCUAAAUAAUACUUCAGAUAUACUAGGCAUGAUUAAAUAUGCAGUCAUGUAAGGAUGUUAAGCUUUGUCCUCUUUCAAAAUGCUCUGUAUUAGGGUUUAAAAAUACAAGUGAUGGCACGGGGGAUCCCAGACAAAAGAACUGAAUUCUUUUUCUCUACAAUGGCCUAAAAAACACUGCUGCAUCUGAAAUGAAAUCCUGUGCAAGUGUAACACUUUGAUCAGCUUAUUAGAUUCUGGCUAUGCUGGAAUAUUUGAACCUAAAACCCAGUAUGAGACGUGUGAAGCCUCCCAUUCAUUUCCUACUGUAGAUAUUUCCCCCUCUGCUUCCAAAUCAGGAAAAGGAAACCCAAUCCUGAGGAUUCCAUUCUGGCAUAUUUAUGCCCCAGGCAGACUGAGAGUGUAAAAUAGACUUUUCACAAAUGAAGAGACAUCAUGCUUUUCAGCCCAGGACAAGAAACUUCAGCUGUUGCCAAGGCAACGGAAGGAUUGGGCUCUUAGGCUGGCUGCCCGAGGAGUGUCUCAGAGCCCCACCCUCCUGUGCUGUCAUUCACUGUCUGAUCAAGUGCAAAGGCCUUGGGAGUGAAUUCACAGUGAGAACCGGUCUAUAAGCUCUCCAGAAACGAGAUCAUCUCUGAAUAAUCAAAAAAGCAGGAUGAAAUGUGGAAACAUGCUGAGAUUUGUAAAGGUUACGAAGGAGAGAAUAUGGCCUUAGGAAAGAUGCUUGCAGCAACAAAAAUACAUCCAACACAAUGGAUCUGAAUCUCUUUAACACUAAGGCCAGCGUGAUGAACUCUGUUCCAUGUCAUGAUUACUAUAAGAGGUCAGGAAUUUUUAGGUGAUAAAAAUCUGUCCUAUAGUAGUUUGUCCAAAGACUGGGAUAGUAAUAAAUCCUCUUGUAGAACUUGGGCUUAGUUCUCCUACUGUUUUGUUUUCAGUCUGUAAGGAGGCGGAGAUGGUCCUCUACCAACUUCCUUGAUACUCUCCGUGGAUCGGGACAGUGCCUAGAGACAAGUUUAUGAGUUGGCUCUGACCCAAUGGACUGGUUGUUGGGAUAGGUAGCUCCCCCUUCUUCCUUUCCCCAUGUGCUUUCCUUGCCAAUCAAGGAAGAAAAUUUGCCUCCUGGAUCAUUAUCCAUUGAUUUGGGGGUGGAGGUGGAGUGGGGUGUCUCACAUUUGAGUCACUUUCUAUUCUUGCCCAAGAAGCUGUUGCUUUUAUUGUAGUAUUAGUGCAGAUAUAUCUGCUAAUGAUGAGUUGUACUUGCUUAAAAACAAUUUUUAUUAUACAAAUCAUUCUGUAAUAAUAGUUUAAAUGCUCUGAAGUUACUAAGUGAUGAGAUAGAAAUCAAAUUCAACUUACAGCUAGGUACAAGACGAUCUUCUGCCACGCUUCAAAGAAAGAUGUUAAAAUACAUGUGGAAUUAUUC